rnacentral:rRNA from 1 species
UACAGAGGGUGCAAGCGUUGUUCGGAAUUACUGGGCGUAAAGGGCGCGUAGGCGGCCUUCUAAGUCAGACGUGAAAUCCCUCGGCUCAACCGGGGAACGACGCAUGAAACUGGCAAGCUAGAGUACCAAAGAGGGGGGUGGAAUUCCCGGUGUAGCGGUGGAAUGCGUAGAGAUCCGGAAGAACACCGGUGGCGAAGGCGGUUAGCUGGGCAGUUGCUGACACUGAGGCGCGACAGCGUGGGGAGCAAACAGG